AGCUGGCUGGUACCAUGAGGUGACUUCUGCCCAGUGCUCUGAUUGUCACUGCGAAGAGAUUCAGCCAAGCGCGGGUAAACGGCGGGAGUAACUAUGACUCUCUUAAGGUAGCCAAAUGCCUCGUCAACCAAUUAUUGACGCGCAUGAAUGGAUCAACGAGAUUCCUGCUGUCCCUAGGUGCUGUCCGGUGAACCAACAGCCAAGGGAACGGGCUUGGGUGUGUCAGCGGGGAAAGAAGACCCUGUUGAGUUUGACUCUAGUUUGAUGCUGUGCAACGACAUGUGGGGUGUAGCAUAGGUGGGAGGCAAGUGCCAUACACGAAACCCCUGAACCCAUCGCGCAGAUGGGAGGGCCCACCGCGGUGUGCUCAUCGUGAUGCAAUCCUGUGUGAAUCCUGUUGAGAUGCGAGGGUGUGCAAGCGAGUCGCUUGGAAGAGGGAGCAAUGCGUCUCCAUGGUGCGAACCAGCAGUGAAAUACCACUACCUUCACCGUCGUUUUACUCACCGAGUGGCUUGGGAACGGUGGCCAUUGGACAUCGGCCUUCGCUAUCCUGCGGGAGCCGUGGCCUCUACCCGCUUCGUGUGCCAAGCACCGUCUCCUCGCGGGACGGUGCGACCCUGCGGGGUCUACACCCUGCCCACUCUGUUUGGUGCCUCGGGACAAUGAUCAGUUGGGGAGUUUGGCUGGGGCGGCACGCCUGUUACAGCACAACGCAGGCGUCCUGAAGCAUUGCUCAGAUGGGAGAGAAACCUUGCAUGGAGGAGCAGGCCAAAGGUGCUGCUGAUGCUGCGACUUCCAGUACAAGUCCAAAACGUGCAAUCGUGGCCUUGCGAUCCUUUGGUUAAGCGCACGGGUUUGGGAUAUUGAAGCCAGAGGUGUCAGAAAAAUUACCACAGGGAUAACUGGCUUGUGGCUGCCAAGCGUUCAAAGCGACGUCGCUUUUUGAUCCUUCGAUGUCGGCUCUUCCUAGCUUCCCACCCGCAGCCGAGUGGAAGAGUUGGAUUGUUCACCCACCAACAGGGAACGUGAGCUGG
rnacentral:rRNA from 1 species